rnacentral:rRNA from 1 species
UAGUCCACGCCGUAAACGAUGAGUGCUAGCUGUUGGUGCCGUAGGGCAUUAGUAGCGCAGUUAACGCGAUAAGCACUCCGCCUGGGGAGUACGGCCGCAAGGUUAAAACUCAAAUGAAUUGACGGGGGCCCGCACAAGCGGUGGAGCAUGUGGUUUAAUUCGAUGCAACGCGAAGAACCUUACCUACCCUUGACAUCCUGCGAAUCUGAUAGAGAUAUCGGAGUGCCUUCGGGAAUGCAGAGACAGGUGCUGCAUGGCUGUCGUCAGCUCGUGUUGUGAAAUGUUGGGUUAAGUCCCGUAACGAGCGCAACCCUUGUCCUUAGUUGCCAGCGAUUCGGUCGGGGACUCUAAGGAGACUGCCGGUGACAAACCGGAGGAAGGUGGGGACGACGUCAAGUCAUCAUGGCCCUUACGGGUAGGGCUACACACGUGCUACAAUGGUCGGUACAGAGGGAAGCAAGACCGCGAGGUGGAGCGAAUCUCAGAAAGCCGAUCGUAGUCCGG